rnacentral:rRNA from 1 species
AGCAGCCGCGGUAAUUCCAGCUCCAAUAGCGUAUAUUAAAGUUGUUGCAGUUAAAAAGCUCGUAGUUGAAUUUCGAGAUCAAAUUGUUGGUCGUGCCUCGGUACGUACUGGCAUUAUUGAUUUCUCCCUUCUGAAGAACCACGAUGUCAUUAAUUUGGUGUCGUGGGGAAUCAGGACUGUUACUUUGAAAAAUUGAGUGUUUAAAGCAGGCUCACGCUUGAAUACAUUAGCAUGGAAUAAUGAAAUAGGACGUUUGAUUCUAUUUUGUUGGUUUCUAGGAUCGACGUAAUGAUUAAUAGGGAUAGUUGGGGCAUUAGUAUUCAAUUGUCAGAGGUGAAAUUCUUGGAUUUAUUGAAGACUAACUACUGCGAAAGCAUUUGCCAAGGAUGUUUUCAUUAAUCAAGAACGAAAGUUAGGGAUCGAAGACGAUCAGAUACCGUCGUAGUCUUAACCAUAAACUAUGACCG